rnacentral:lncRNA from 1 species
GGGAGGUGUACUCUAUCCGGGGGAGGUGUACCCUGUCCGGGGGAGGUGUACUCUGUCCGGGGGAGGUGUACACUGUCUGGGGGAGGUGUACUCUCUUCGUAGGUGUUAGGUCUCCGAAAAUCGCAUCCUUCGCUGACUCCCCGGUCCAGAAUACCUUGUUCGCAUAUUAGGUUACCUCCUAGAAUUUCGUUGAUGAUCGUCCUCCUUCAAACUCCCGAUGGAGAUAUCGUCCUUUUCUGGAGAAGUAGAUGAAGGUCUCCUCU